rnacentral:lncRNA from 1 species
AUGUGUUACAGAGAGAUUGGAGGAGAAAAGGGUUCUAGGUCUCCUGCAGGUGCUAAGUUCAGGAGAAAGACCCAUGACCAGCUGCAGCCCGAGCUUCCAGAGACAUUCAGCAAGGUGGUCUGUGUGUUUGUGUCUAAGUGUUCAACUACGUGCUCUGCUUAUCUCCCCCAGCUCACCCCAGAUCCGCUCAUUGAGCCCCACACCACUCUCUGGCUUACUCUACCAAGAACUCUUAACUCUCCUCCACCUGGCUCUCCCCCUGUCCUUCAAGACCAGCCUCCAAGUCAGCCUCUCUCUGAUAAGCUUUGUCGAUCGCUCCACCAUCUCCAUGACCCUCUGUCCCUAAUACAGUUUUCAUCUAAUACAUCUCUGUCUUGUUCUCCGAGGUUUGUGCUUUUAAGCUUCAGCCCUCAGAAUCUGCAUCUAAGUAGCCUUUCGGCUCUAGGGAGUGUUCAGGGUGAGGUUGUGAGCACAGCUUGGUGCAGAGUUAGGAUGAAGAGUCAUAUGUGUAUUUAUAGUUUCUGAAUCUCAAGGGGGCUCUGCAGUGUGUACUAGAAGCUUGAAUUUUCUGUGGCCAUUCAUUUAGGCAGACCAUAUUGAUUAUGUACCUGCAACAGAAGUUUUAUUUGAGUUAAUCAGAGAGCUCUGUAUACUCGCUCUAUGCAUCUAUGGGUGUACCUAGUCAUUGUUCUCUGUGUACUGUACGGGCAUCUGAAACAUCCUUGUAGUGUCCAUGUUUUAUGUACAUAGAAACACAGGAACUGCAGAUACUAUGUGUUGUGUCUGGGCGAACAAAAUUCAGAUUUAGAGCCAGAGGACAAUGGACUGGCAGAAUUCCCUAACCUGUCACUUGAUUGGAUCUUCCUCCAAAUUAACCAUCCAAGCUCUGGACUUCAGUGCCCAUUAUAAAUGGGAAGAAUAUCAAUCGUCUGUUCUCUUUGGCCUCUGUGACAGAAGCAAGAUGACAAAAAUGAACAUCAUCCUUUGGAAGGCAUCACAAUAAGGCACAAACCUCGGCGCUGCCUCUGUGGCUCUAAGGCUACCACCUUCAGAAGUUGACCUGUGGAGAAUGUGGCUGUCCUACCAAGUGUAAGAGGAAGUAUAACGGGAGCGCCAAGGCCAAGAGACCAAACACUACUGGGGACUGGGCGGUCAGGAACAUAAAUUUGUCUGUCACAGAUUCAGACUCGGAUUCUGUGAUGGAGCAUCCCCAAACAGGGCAGCCACUGCAGCAGUCUGUUCAUCUUGAGGAUUUUCUAUCAGUCUAGUUGCAAAGGCUUUUGAAAAAUGGGAAGAAUAAUACUUGAUACAUCUAUAUACCAACAAUAGGUUCUAUCUAGAGAAGAUGGAGAAUGACAAUAACUGGUGUGACGUGUCCAACCCCAAACAUACAGGAAACACUCAGUAACUCUGGUGUGUUCGGGUGUGUGUGUGUGUGUGUGUGUGUGUGUGUGUAAAAGAGUCUUGAGACCAGGAAGUUUUUGGCCUGGGCUGCUAGAUGUCCCCCUUCUUUAUGCAGCACCCC